rnacentral:misc_RNA from 1 species
UCCGGUUUGUCACCGGCAGUCUCAUUAGAGUGCCCUUUCGUAGCAACUAAUGACAAGGGUUGCGCUCGUUGCGGGACUUAACCCAACAUCUCACGACACGAGCUGACGACGGCCAUGCAGCACCUGUGUCCAGGCUCCCUUUCGGGCACUUCCACAUCACUGCAGAAUUCCUGGCAUGUCAAGGGUAGGUAAGGUUUUUCGCGUUGCAUCGAAUUAAACCACAUCAUCCACCGCUUGUGCGGGUCCCCGUCAAUUCCUUUGAGUUUUAACCUUGCGGCCGUACUCCCCAGGCGGGAUGCUUAAUGCGCUAGCUGCGCCACCAACAAGCAUGCUUGCUGACGGCUAGCAUCCAUCGUUUAAGGCGUGGACUAC